UUUUUGAGACCACCUUAGACAUGCUCCCACCCCUUAGCUAAAGAAAAAAAUGCUGACUCCACUCCGUUACUUUUCUUUAGCUCUAUAGUUAUCAUUUGGGAAAAGCUUUCCUGCCGUUAAAGGAAUAUUUCAAAUACCAAAGUAUUUUUUUGCAGUGACAACUUUCURUGAACUCAACUCUCCGCUGCCUCUAAAAAAUUGAAUCCAUCUGGUCUCAGGACUGGAAAGCUAAUCUARCCAUAGCAAUGAUGUUUAUUAAAAUUCAGAUCGCCAUCUUCGUGCUGGGGAGCGUGCCUUUCAUAGCACUUGCUGAAGAAGCAAGCUCAGUUCUCGAAGGAGAAGAAAGCGCAACAAUUGAUUUUAGAGACAGAAAUGACACAGAUUUUGAAGAAUUACCAACCCUGCUGCCAACAAAACUACACAGUGUAACAAAUUUCUUGGAGUUUGGAGAACUGAUGACCACAGAAGGUACAGUCUCAAAUGAAGACAGUGAGAAUUCCACUGAUUACGAAGCUACCACUGAAAAUGAAGGUGGACCAGGUAGAGAACAAGAGACAACUGAGAAAGGUGGUCUGGAAACAAUUGCACUUGCUGGAAUCAUUACUGGAAUCAUACUAGCAGUUGGAAUCCUUGCAGGAAUCAUAAUUGCUGUUGUAAGGAAAAUGUCAGGCAGGUACUCGCCUUAAAAAUGGUUGAAACAAGCGAUCAUGCCGUUUUAUGCCAGUAAAUACAAGUGCUUCUUAUUUUAUAAGCACUAGAGACUAUUCUUGUAUUUGUGUGAGAAGAUGAUCCAUGGAAAGCAUGAAGAACUUCAGGUCUAUGGGGAUCCCACACGACUCUCCAAGUGACUAUUUUUACAGACUUACUGAACAUGGAACACUUCAUAGGAUUUCACUAACCAGGAAUAUAUUAGAGGAAAUGAAAAUUAUGUAGUAGGAAAAAGAAAAAAAACACAGAAGCAAAGAGAUAUACAUCCAAAGUGUGAUUUGCAGGUAACAUAUGCUAGCUUGAUUUUAAACACUGCAGGCAAAGAAUUAUCUUACAUUGUAUUUUACCUAUUUCUCUCUAAAAAAAGAAACCACAUACCCAGAUUCUUUUCUCUUCAGAACACUGAAGGAUAYGGCUAUCUUGACUACUCAGUGAGCUUAAGUGCUUGCAGCACGUUCAUCUACCUAACCUAGAGUUUAGCAAGAUACGAAACUUCUUACUGACAAGAAGGAAUGAGCUUCAGAGAGACUCAAUUAUCUUCACAUUCCAUAAACAAAUUACAUAUCAGAACCUAAGUCUUUCCACUAUCAAUACUGAUUUUCUGCUUUUGAUACUUACGUGCCAAGGUGUGGUAGACCCAGCUGGAACUGACCUACCAACUAAAAGCUUGCUCAUCCCACUGUUACACUAAGAACUUCCUGUCUUCUCUUGUUGCAGAGACGCAUAGGGAUUGAAACACACAUCCUGAAUUAAAGGGUGCUUGGAAUAUACCCACUUUUGAUGGGUCACUAACCAGUUACUUCUGAUGUGUAGAAGCUCUUCAAUUAACAUGCACUUUUCUUUAUAACUGCCUCAUUUUCUAAGUGCAGAGGAGACUUGUUUGAUCACACAUUGUACAACACUAGGUCAGAACAUGUUAAUGAAGUAUGUGUCUCUGGACUCUAUAGCUUUUCAUUAUGGCAUAUUUAACGCAGCACUACAUAAGUGUACAGAGUUCAAAGAAAUGGCUGUGCCAAGUGGCUACAGUGUAUCAUGUUUUCUAAACUUAAGGCACUCGUGUUUGGUAUGAAAUCACUAUAAUUCACAUUGUCAAUGAGUAAUAAACAAGUCAAUUUAUAUUUGCUCUUCCA
ensembl:lncRNA podoplanin